UACAAAUGCCCUGAUUAUUUCAGCUCAGCAUUAGAAAUGUCACUUUGGGACCGUGCGGAGCUGGUCACCCACGGGGCCGUUGUGUCCCCAAGGUCCCCAGGCGUGCAGUGAUACCCUGGGGGCCGCAUCCAUCCCCAUCCCUUAUGGCUCUCUCUCUGUCUCCGCUGUAGGCUCAAGUGCCACAACAAAUGCACCAAAGAGGCCCCUCCGUGCCAUCUGCUGAUCAUCCACCGCGGAGCACGGUUGGUGCGGACCGAGUCGGUGCCCUGUGACAUCAACAACCCCCUGCGCAAGCCCCCGCGUUAUUCAGACCUGCAUGUCAGCCAGACGCUCCCCAAAACCAACAAGCUCAACAAGGACCACAUCCCGGUGCCCUACCAGCCAGACUCCAGCAGCAAUCCCUCCUCCACCACCUCCUCCACGCCAUCCUCGCCAGCCCCACCACUGCCACCCAGUGCCACGCCGCCGUCCCCGCUGCACCCAUCCCCGCAGUGCCCACGCCAGCAGAAGCAGUUCAACCUGCCAGCCUCCCAUUACUACAAGUACAAGCAGCAGUUCAUUUUCCCAGAUGUGGUACCUGAGACGCCAACCCGAGCCCCACAGGUGGUCUUGCACCCCGUCACAUCCAACCCCAUGUGAGUGAUGUACUUUUGGAAAUGUCAUUUGGGAAGGGCUUGAAA
rnacentral:lncRNA from 1 species